UCAGGGAAAUGAUGUGGAGUGUGUUUGCAUAUUGAUCAGAUCUUCAGUGUGUGAGAGUGUUUAUAGUGCUGUGAGUUUAACACUUCAUCACUGACACACACAACAAUCUUCAUCAACAUGACCUUCAUCAUCAUCUUCAUCUGGACUCUCACAGCGUUUGCUCAAGAGUGUAGAGGACAGAUCACCGUCACUCAGAGUCCCUCAAUAACAGCAGAACAACCAGGAGGAACUGUCAAUAUCAAAUGUAAAACCAGCACAGAUGUGAGGAGAUUGAAUAAUGGGGAUGAAGGUGUAUUCUGGUACUUACAGAAAGCUGGAGAAGCUCCUAAACUCCUGAUUUAUCGUGCAAAAUACCUUGAGUCAGGAACUCCAUCUAGAUUCAGUGGCAGUGGAUCUAACAGUGAUUUCACUCUGAGCAUCAGUGGAGUCCAGACUGAAGAUGCUGGACAUUAUUACUGUAGAGUUUCCAUUGCAGAAUAAAUUCCAAUGAUCGUUGUGUGGGUGAUGAAAC